rnacentral:rRNA from 1 species
UGGGGAAUCUUGCACAAUGGAGGAAACUCUGAUGCAGCGACGCCGCGUGAGCGAAGAAGCCUUUCGGGGUGUAAAGCUCUUACGCCAGGGACGAUAAUGACGGUACCUGGAGAAGCAGCUGCGGCUAACUACGUGCCAGCAGCCGCGGUAAUACGUAGGCAGCAAGCGUUGUUCGGAAUUACUGGGCGUAAAGGGCGCGCAGGCGGGAUAAAAAGUCAGUGGUGAAAUCCUACAGCUUAACUGUAGAACUGCCUUUGAUACUUUUAUUCUUGAGUUCGGGAGAGAGAGACGGAAUUCCAGGUGUAGUGGUGAAAUACGUAGAUAUCUGGAAGAACACCAGUUGCGAAGGCGGUCUCUUGGUCCGACACUGACGCUGAGGCGCGAAAGCGUGGGGAGCAAACA